rnacentral:rRNA from 1 species
UACGAAGGGGGCUAGCGUUGUUCGGAAUUACUGGGCGUAAAGCGCACGUAGGCGGAUUUGUUAGUCAGGGGUGAAAUCCCGGGGCUCAACCUCGGAACUGCCUUUGAUACUGCAAGUCUCGAGUCCGGAAGAGGUGGGUGGAAUUCCUAGUGUAGAGGUGAAAUUCGUAGAUAUUAGGAAGAACACCAGUGGCGAAGGCGGCCCACUGGUCCGGUACUGACACUGAGGUGCGAAAGCGUGGGGAGCAAACAGG